CCUACGGGAGGCAGCAGUGGGGAAUAUUGCGCAAUGGGCGAAAGCCUGACGCAGCGACGCCGCGUGAGGGAUGAAGGUCUUCGGAUUGUAAACCUCUGUCAGUAGGGAAGAAAGGUCACUGUGCUAAUCAGCAGUGAAUUGACGGUACCUGCAAAGGAAGCACCGGCUAACUCCGUGCCAGCAGCCGCGGUAAUACGGAGGGUGCGAGCGUUAAUCGGAAUUACUGGGCGUAAAGCGCUCGUAGGCGGUAUGUUAAGUCAAGGGUGAAAGCCCCGGGCUUAACGUGGGAACUGCAUUUGAUACUGGCAAACUGGAGUGUGUGAGAGGGUGGUGGAAUUCCAGGUGUAGGGGUGAAAUGCGUAGAGAUCUGGAGGAACAUCGAUGGCGAAGGCGACUAUCUGGCACAUUACUGACGCUGAGGAGCGAAAGCGUGGGUAGCAAACAGGAUUAGAUACCCGUGUAGUC
rnacentral:rRNA from 1 species